rnacentral:rRNA from 1 species
AGGAAUAUUGGUCAAUGGGCGAGAGCCUGAACCAGCCAAGUAGCGUGAAGGAUGACUGCCCUAUGGGUUGUAAACUUCUUUUAUAAAGGAAUAAAGUCGGGUAUGGAUACCCGUUUGCAUGUACUUUAUGAAUAAGGAUCGGCUAACUCCGUGCCAGCAGCCGCGGUAAUACGGAGGAUCCGAGCGUUAUCCGGAUUUAUUGGGUUUAAAGGGAGCGUAGAUGGAUGUUUAAGUCAGUUGUGAAAGUUUGCGGCUCAACCGUAAAAUUGCAGUUGAUACUGGUUCCCUUGAGUGCAGUUGAGGCAGGCGGAAUUCGUGGUGUAGCGGUGAAAUGCAUAGAUAUCACGAAGAACCCCGAUUGCGAAGGCAGCCUGCUAAGCUGUAACUGACGUUGAGGCUCGAAAGUGUGGGUAUCAAACAGGAUUAGAUACCCUGGUAGUCCACACGGUAAACGAUGGAUACUCGCUGUUGGCGAUAUACUGUCAGCGGCCAAGCGAAAGCAUUAAGUAUCCCACCUGGGGAGUACGCCGGCAACGGUGAAACUCAAAGGAAUUGACGGGGGCCCGCACAAGCGGAGGAACAUGUGGUUUAAUUCGAUGAUACGCGAGGAACCUUACCCGGGCUUAAAUUGCAGACGAAUUACCUGGAAACAGGUAAGCCGCAAGGCGUCUGUGAAGGUGCUGCAUGGUUGUCGUCAGCUCGUGCCGUGAGGUGUCGGCUUAAGUGCCAUAACGAGCGCAACCCUCGUGGCCAGUUACUAGCAGGUAACGCUGAGGACUCUGGCCAGACUGCCAUCGUAAGAUGCGAGGAAGGUGGGGAUGACGUCAAAUCAGCACGGCCCUUACGUCCGGGGCUACACACGUGUUACAAUGGGAGGUACAGAAGGCAGCUACCCGGCGACGGGAUGCCAAUCUCCAAAGCCUCUCUCAGUUCGGACUGGAGUCUGCAACCCGACUCCACGAAGCUGGAUUCGCUAGUAAUCGCGCAUCAGCCACGGCGCGGUGAAUACGUUCCCG